rnacentral:rRNA from 1 species
CCCCCGGGGAUACGCCCCCCAAGUUUUAAAAUAAAAAGGAUUCCGGGGGCCCCCCAAGGGGGGGAACCCAUGUGGUUUUAUUUGAAAGCAACCGGAAAGACCUUUCCCUGGCCUUGACAUCUGAGACUUUCAGAGAAUGGAUUGUGCCUUUGGGAACUCAGACACAGGUGCUGCAUGGCUUUCGUCAGCUCGUGUCGUGAGAUGUUGGGUUAAGUCCCGUAACGAGCGCAACCCUUGUCCUUAGUUACCAGCACGUUAUGGUGGGCACUCUAAGGAGACUGCCGGUGACAAACCGGAGGAAGGUGGGGAUGACGUCAAGUCAUCAUGGCCUUACGGCCAGGGCUACACACGUGCUACAAUGGUCGGUACAAAGGGUUGCCAAGCCGCGAGGUGGAGCUAAUCCCAUAAAACCGAUCGUAGUCCGGAUGCAG